rnacentral:lncRNA from 1 species
GUCAUAAAUUUUUAAUCAAAUUGUUUAUGCAGAGGAUUCACGAAAAUGAGAGAGAUAAUCUGCCCUGGAUUAAUCAAUGACAUUUACCAAGCUCUAAUAAGAACAAGAAUUGUGCUAGAUACCAUGGAUACAAUAAAGAACAAUGCACAAAUGGACUAAAUGUAACUCACUGUCUAAACUGGUAGCAAUGCAUAUAGACAGACGCAGGGUGUCCUGAGCAGGGACAUAGGAAGGGGUGAUGGAAUGAACACCCAGCGAUGGUUCCGUACUGAUGUUCCCAGUUGAAGUCAUCAAAAAGGUGACCACUCCACAGGAACUCCAUUUGAGGGCCUUGUUCAAUGGGACUUUUCAGCCAUCCUCCCAAUCCAAGUAUUUUCUUCACCUAUUAAACUUGUCUUUGAUUAGCUCUCCAUUGGUCAGAGAUUCUGUGAGAUACCUCGCUGCCAGGGACCGAUAUAUCCAGAGCAUGGGACCAGGAGCUGGACUCACGGUGGGAUCUCUGAUCAGUCACAGAAGGAGCUUGACGAGCUCAUGGGGUCUCUCUCCCUAGGUGGAGAAGACAGGGCUCCAAAUGGACUUCCAGUCCCAUCCACGUCACAGAGGCAAAUUGUCAGAGACAAAGACCUAAGCCGGUCCUUUUCCAGGAGUAAAUGACCAUCGUGCGCCCAUGGGAAGAGUGCUGCAUCCACGGAGGACAUGGGCCAACAGUGCUCUCAAAUGGGUUUCAUGAAAGCAUCUGUGACUCAUCCCUGUUCAAGAAUGUUUUCAUUACGAUUCAGCAGAAGCGAUGUGCCAGGUCAGCAAAUACAACUGCAAAACCGGGGCCUGCCAGCCUGGCCAACACAGCAAGACCCCGUCUCUACUAAAAAGUAAAAUUAAAAUUAGCUGAGUAUGGUGG